GACGAACGCUGGCGGCGUGCUUAACACAUGCAAGUCGAACGGAAAGGCCCUGCUUUUGUGGGGUGCUCGAGUGGCGAACGGGUGAGUAACACGUGAGUAACCUGCCCUUGACUUUGGGAUAACUUCAGGAAACUGGGGCUAAUACCGGAUAGGAGCUCCUGCUGCAUGGUGGGGGUUGGAAAGUUUCGGAGGUUGGGGAUGGACUCGCGGCUUAUCAGCUUGUUGGUGGGGUAGUGGCUUACCAAGGCUUUGACGGGUAGCCGGCCUGGGAGGGUGACCGGCCACAUGAGGACUGAGGUACGGCCCAGACUGCUACAGUGGACAGCAGUGGAAAAUAUUGCACAAUGGGCGGAAGCCUGAGGCAACAGCGCCGCGUGCGGGAUGACGGCCUUCGGGUUAUAAACCGCUUUCGCCUAUUACGAAGCGUGAGUGACGUUAAUAGGUAAAGAAGCACCGGCUAACUACGUG
rnacentral:rRNA from 1 species